CUCAUAAAGUAUGUCGUAGUCCGGAUUGAGUCUGCAACUCGACUCCAUGAAGUCGGAAUCGCUAGUAAUCGUAGAUCAGAAUGCUACGGUGAAUACGUUCCCGGGCCUUGUACACACCGCCCGUCACACCAUGGGAGUGGGUUGCAAAAGAAGUAGGUAGCUUAACCUUCGGGAGGGCGCUUACCACUUUGUGAUUCAUGACUGGGGUGAAGUCGUAACAAGGUAACCG
rnacentral:rRNA from 1 species